UACGAAGGGGGCUAGCGUUGCUCGGAAUCACUGGGCGUAAAGGGUGCGUAGGCGGUUUGGUAAGUCUUAUGUGAAAUCUAUGGGCUCAACUCAUAGUCUGCAUGAGAAACUGCCGGGCUUGAGUAUGGGAGAGGUGAGUGGAAUUCCUGGUGUAGCGGUGAAAUGCGUAGAUAUCAGGAGGAACACCUGUGGCGAAAGCGGCUCACUGGACCAUAACUGACGCUGAUGCACGAAAGCUAGGGGAGCAAACAGG
rnacentral:rRNA from 1 species